rnacentral:tRNA from 1 species
GCGGGCGUAGCUCAUCGGUAGAGCAUAACCUUGCCAAGGUUGGGGUAGAGGGUUCGAUUCCCUUCGCCCGCU